rfam:Triticum aestivum genome assembly, contig: Triticum_aestivum_CS42_TGACv1_scaffold_093841_2AL
CUACUACUCCCUCCAUCUGAAAAUAUUUGUCGAAGAAAUAAAUAAAAAUAGAUGUAUCUAGAACUAAAAUACGGUUAGAUACAUUCAUUUCUUCGACAAGUAUUUCCGGACGGAGGGAGUACUAC